CUUUAACUCCUCGGGCCUGGGGGGGGGGGGGCUUCUUGCUGUUUUAUACCUUUCCUUUUUUUUCCCUUCUUCUUCCUCCCUUUUUUUCAGACGCAUUUUUUUUCUUUCUUUCCCUUCUUUCCCCCCCUCUCUUUCCCCCCUUUUUCCUUCCGGCUUCGGCAAACGGGAGCGGCGGGGUUCGUGCACUCGGUGCUGCGCUCGCACCCCGCGGCCGCACAGGGGCCGUACCCGGCUGAUCGCGGGGGGGGGUCCGGCAUCCCUUCGCCCCCGCGCCCGCAGCGCCGUGUUCCUCGCGUGAGAGCCUGUGAUCAGCGCCGGCCUCUCUGGGAAGCAACACCAGUCUCGUUCCAGAAGAACAAAAUAACAGCGUGAGGCUGAAACCUGGCACGGACCGGGGGAACGCGGCCAUCUGCCCCGCACCGCACGGAGCCCCGCGGCCGCGGAGCGGGCGGAGGGCGCAGAGCUCCGGUGCUGCCCUCCUCCUCCUCCUCCUCCCCUCCCUUCCUCGCUCCUUUCCCCGCUCCAUCCCUUCUUAGGGAAAAGCGGUUGAAAGGAGAAAGGCAGAGAGCACGAAUGGGUGCCCUCCCCGCGCUGCGUUGCCGGGGAGCUUUCAUGGUUUGGUUUGAGGACUUGAAAUUUUGCAAGAAGAUUACCUGCUAGAGCAGGUAUGGCCAGUGUGAUGGAAACAAGGCCUGCCAGCUGGAUACAACUUUCAGAGAGCUGGUGGUGAAGUUCUGCUUUUCCAGCAUAUUGUUCUUUCAAGUCAAGGAAGGUGUGCAUUGAUCAUCACUGAGUCGUCAUUGUCAGACCUUCCAAAGUGAGGAGAAAGCUGUGCAAAAUGAGUGGACAUUAAUCUAGCAACCUGCCUCUCUUUGUGCCUCAGCUCACUGGCAGUAAUGUGAGGUUAAUGAUACACCCUCAUUCCACAGGUUCAUUAUCAGAAAUAAGCUGCAAACUUCUCCACUGUUCCCCCGGUGAGGAAGGAACCACUCCACUAGAUUCUCUUCUAUUGCUGCCUCAGCAAUAUGGUGUUUGAGGAGGAACAGUGUUGAAGCCUCCUGUAUUAUAGGAGGACUGCAGCUUUUGGAGGAGCAAAGCAGGCUUCUAAGGUGGUCAAAGGCUGAAGACCCAGGGGAGCUUAAGGCAAAGCUGUGAAGAACUCAUUUUUGGCAAAUAAAAAUGACACUCAGGAACAAUUUGGCUAAAGUGUGUCUUGUGCGUUUGGAGGUCUAGGUUAUAUUGCUGUGCCAUGGCUUCUCUGUAUGCUCUUGGGCCAGACAUCUCCUUGUUGAAUCUCCAGUUGAAAUAGGUGUAAAAAUAAUUCUCUACGGAAGGCAAUGGGAAUUUCAGUCUACGCUUAGGCACUCUAGAAAUGCUGUUGUGGAAAAAAAAAAAAAGGCUACUGAUUUUAUUUUUGUAAAGACCUUCCAGACAUCCAAAAUCUCAAUGAAGUCACUAUAAGUGGGGACUUCUUGCAGAACUCUUUCAGAGAGGAUGGGGACAGGGUUGGUGAAGUCUGGGGAUUUGAGGGUUUAGGAGAGAGAUGAUGGGGAAGAUGUGGUGGGAAUGCUGUGGACAGAGGCUUUGGGGCCAGCAGCUGGAGUGAAGGAGGCUGGUAGCUAUGGUCUGGGAGUAGCUGCGGAAUUGGAGUUCUGAGAUGGUUUAAGAGUCCUGGGUGGAGAGAUUGGGUAUGGGUAUGGGAAGCUGAGAGGCUUGGAAAAGUUGAGGGAAAUGGAUUUUUCUUUCUGGCGGCCAGAAAUGAUGUGUAAUUUCUGUAGGAUGAGAGAUUUUGGGAAGGCCAUCAAUAGAAUCCAGGCUAGUGCUCCAUGUUUUGGGGCAUAUCUGCAUGCUCAAACUGGGGACUGCUCCCAGAAGGCUACUGCAUCCGGUUUUACUGUCAUAAACAUGUUAACCAUAUGUAUGCAUAUGUUAACCAUAGGUAUGCAGCGAGCUUUAUCCAUCGUUCAGCUGUGCUCUCAUGUUUGCCACAUGACCUUCACAAAACAGUUAUCACUAAGUGGGAAGCAGACACAUCUGGAUGCAUCCAUGCCUCAAGAGAGUCACCAGGCAGUCC
ensembl:lncRNA